UUUUCCGUCUUCUCGUGGCUUUCUGUGUCCAGACAGCAUGGAUGGAAAUAGCUCCGAAGAUGUUCGGCGUUCUUAUACUAAGAGGCAGUUUUGUGUAAAUAUGGAAUUUACGGAACCCCCAUGAAUAGAUAAUUAUGAAACGUAAUAUGUGCAGGCGUUUUGAGUGUAUAAAAGUUAGGGAAAGGUUAAUUUAAGUUGCGCUUGCCGGCUAGCUGCUAGCUAACUUUCAGUCUGGCUAACACGUGCAAGAAGUACAUGUGGGAUGGAAGCUAGCACAUGUAGAAAAGCCAGGCGGCUUUGGAAUGAUCCGUAUGGAAAUGGGUGAAAUCUGCAGACGACGAAGAUUUCCGUCCGAAUAACAGAUUUGUCGUUUCUGUCUGACUUGGCACCCCUGCAUAGAAGCAGAGACACUGAGAGAAGGCUUAACUGCGAAGUCGUAAAGAUGAAACACAGGCCCCUGAGAUAAACUAAACUGACAACGUUGGGGAGAAUUGGACAACACACAAGUCUGGACCAGAUUGAUGAAGCCACAAGAAAUAUUAAAAAGCAUUUAUUUGUGUGUACAAAAUUCAAGUGUAGUGGCACAUUUAAGAUUUGAUGUAUAAAAUAACUUGGGUUUUUAUGACGGCCCAGCACAUCUUUGUCAAUCUGUGUUGAAAGAUAAUCUGUAGGAUUUCUUCUUCAAAUUUUCCAAGAAGAUCUGCUCAUCUUGGAGAUAUUCACGAUCCUGAGGAUGGAAAAGAAUGAGACAUUAAACAUGUACAUUUUUUUCAGUGCAAUAUGUAAUAAACAUUUACAGUU